rnacentral:tRNA from 1 species
GGGGCGGUCAUUGGCAGGUCUGACUGUGGAUCAGCUGGUUGUGGGUUCAAGUCCCAUCAGCCACCCUA